rnacentral:rRNA from 1 species
GACGAACGCUGGCGGCGUGCUUAACACAUGCAAGUCGAACGGUGAAGCGCCUUCCUUUUUGGUGGGUGUGGAUGAGUGGCGAACGGGUGAGUAACACGUGAGUAACCUGCCCCCUUCUUCUGGAUAACCGCAUGAAAGUGUGGCUAAUACGGGAUAUUCUGGGUCUGUCGCAUGAUGGGUCUGGGAAAGAUAUUGUUUCGGUGGGGGAUGGGUUCGCGGCCUAUCAGCUUGUUGGUGGGGUGAUGGCCUACCAAGGCGGUGACGGGUAGCCGGCCUGAGAGGGUGGACGGUCGCACUGGGACUGCGACACCGACAAGACUCCGACGGGAGGCAGCAGGGGGGAAUAUUGCACGAUGGGCGCAAGCCUGAUGCAGCGACGCCGCGUGAGGGAUGGAGGCCUUCGGGUUGUGAACCUCCUUCGCCAGUGAAGCAGGCCUGCCUCGUUUGUGGGUGGGUUGACGGUAGCUGGAUAAGAAGCGCCGGCUAACUACGUG